rnacentral:lncRNA from 1 species
UUAGCUGACUCAUGAACCAAACCUUUACCUCUAAUCAAUGUUCUCCAAGUAUUACAUAUCUUUCAACUAUUACAUUGUAUCUUUUGUAUACCUUCCUAAUCUACUAAAAGUAACCGCAUGCAUAGCCUUAUGAGCUCCAUAUCAAUAGUUGUAACUGAGUGCUAGUUUUGUGAUGCCUCAAAUAAGAGCACGCAAUCUAUUAGGGUUUUACCAACAAUUACCUGAUUUUCCUAAUAAUAUUUUUCCAUUCCAUUUGUCCCUUUCUACAGAGUUGAGUGGAACUCCACUAGUAUAUAUUUGAUGCUUUAAGAAGAUGACAAAGAAGCAAAGGAAAGAGCAGAGACAAUUAAUGGGUAGGAAAGAGGAGAAUAGAUUAUGCCAGCACAGAUUCACCUAUUCAAAAGAUACUGCUUUCACUCCACUGAAUAUAUAUCAAUUUGCUUGAUGAUUAACCCUAACUUGUAAGCACAAGCCCAAGAAAGACGCGGGUAAUACCAAAACAAUCAUGUUGACUUAGCUAACUCAAAGAUGGCCCUGCAAACAAUACUGACCAUCACCACAAUAUUUAUACAAGAUGAAUAUAGGUACACAUCAAAGUGCAAUUUAUUUUGA